rnacentral:misc_RNA from 1 species
AAGUCGUAACAAGGUUUCCGUAGGUGAACCUGCGGAAGGAUCAUUAAUGAGUUCGGGGGCCUAGCUCCCAGCGGCGGGUAUCUGUCCGAGUCCGUCAGGGCUCGGCCAGCGCUCGUCGUGUAUCUCAACCCCAUGUUUAUCUUACCUUUGUUGCUUUGGCGGGCCUUGAGUAGGCUAUACGGCUCAUGCCGGCCCCCAGCGUUUUCUGCUAGGGGGCGGCUCGUGCCCGCCGGAGGUUCAACCAAAUUCUGUUUAUUAGUGAAGUCCGAGUAAAAAUUAAAUAAUCAAAACUUUCAACAA